rnacentral:rRNA from 1 species
CAGUCGCCGCGGUAAAACGGAGGGUGCAAGCGUUAAUCGGAAUUACUGGGCGUAAAGCGCACGCAGGCGGUCUGACAAGUCAGAUGUGAAAUCCCCGGGCUUAACCUGGGAACUGCAUUUGAAACUGUCAGGCUGGAGUCUUGUAGAGGGGGGUAGAAUUCCAGGUGUAGCGGUGAAAUGCGUAGAGAUCUGGAGGAAUACCGGUGGCGAAGGCGGCCCCCUGGACAAAGACUGACGCUCAGGUGCGAAAGCGUGGGGAGCAAACAGGAUUAGAUACCCGAGUAGUCCCUGUCUCUUAUAC